rnacentral:ncRNA from 1 species
GACGAGGUUGAUAGGUUCGAGGUGGAAGCGCAGCAAUGCGUGGAGCUGACGAAUACUAAUCGGUCGAGGGCUUAUCCAA